rnacentral:lncRNA from 1 species
CCUCCCAGAGGAGCUAGACAGUUACUACAGGUUGAAAAGCCCCGACCAGUUUUUCAAGAGUUUCUCCCCUUUUUUUUUUCUUUUCCUUUUUUUUUUUUUUUUCCCCUGAAACUUAUGGAGCUUUUGCUCCGCUUUCAGGAUGCAUUAAGUCUCCUGCUUUGUGACUGCUUUGGAGCCAGCAAAUACCCUGACAUGUACAAUUCGAAUUAUGCAGAUUUCAUGACAGCAGCAAUAUUAAGUUGAUAAAUAGCCAAGAGCACGCUGAAUUCAAGACGUCCUUGCUUAUUGCAGACAAGCAAGGAAAACUACAGGGUAUGGGGGUUGGGUUGGGCGAGGGGGGAGGGGUAGGGUAAUCUUACUUUAUCACUCAGUAACUUAUAUAAAUCAAUUAAAAUGUGAAAGUAAUUCUAGAGCUCAGCUUUCCUCUUUCAAGAACUAGGAAAGCAGUUGAGGAAAUGAAUAAUUUUGAAGAUACUUCAUAGUUAUUACUUGUGAAUGCAAUUCAAAUGAUAGUUUUUACUUUCAUUUCUUUCCAGUAGUUAAUAAAAUAAGCUUUGCCCUUAACUAUACAUUUUUUUUAUUUGUGAAAACUUUCAAAUUGUCAACAGCAAAAUAUGCUUCCUCAGGAUCUUUGAAGUAAACCUGACACUUAAAAAGAUAUUUCAGCUUUUAUAGCUGUUUCACUCCUUUUUUUCCUAGUACAUUUUUCUUAAAAGUAUUUGGGCUUUGAAAAUGUCAGCUGUAUUCUAAUGAAGCUCGGGCAUUGUUUGCUCAUAAAGGGGCCGGUGCAUUCCACUGCUUUAUGGUUUAUUAUGAGGCACAGUGUGAGAGUGUGGGUGGCACCAUUUGGUGUCUGCCUCUUGGGGUAGUGACUGCCAUUAUGUUAGUGUUGGAUUGGCAAAGAAAAUACACCAUGCAAGAUCCUAUAUGAAUCUGGAACCUAUGAAGAAAAUCUUAACCCUAAAUAAUAGUGAGUGAGCCUGGAAUGUGUGACAACUUGAUUGAGUUGAUCACUUCAAAUAUACUCUGGAAAGUCUGCAUUUCAGUUACAAUUAAUAUUCUAGCAGGGACAGCUCUUGUUUUUGGAUGUAUUUAAGAGUUACCCAUUCUUUGAAUUUUAAUAAGGAAGUGAAUAUUUCUACAAUGUUAUGACAUUUUAAGUAGAUACAGUAACAUUUUAAAUAAUACAUUUACUUAAAAAGGAGUUUUAAGGAACUUCGUGUGGGUGGGGAGGGGGAGUGAGAGAGGAGGUCAGGCAGAGAGCCUUUCUUUCAGUUAGGAAAGCCCUGAUGAAGAAAAAAGCAACAGAUGUUUCUUCUGUUACAAUUGAGGUUGUUUUAUUCCAAAUUCACAGUAGCUGGAAUGGGUAGGGGAGGUCAUAAAUCUGACUUAAUCGGGGAAUAAAUAAAACUUAGUCAUUUAAAAUUUUUUCUUUUAUACUUAGAAUUUGAGAAUCAGUAGAGUAACAUACCUUUUGAAAAGACUUUUUAAAAAAAUCUUAAAAAAUUAAUAUAAUUAUGGAAAUGUGAGAAAGUUAAUUUUAGUGCAUGUAAGUUAUGGAAAAAAUGAUCAUUAAAUCCUACAGAAUACUUGGAAAAAAGCCUACCCAUUAUAAAAUAUAUAAGGAAUACUUACGUUGCAAAAGUUUGUAAUUGCACAAUAGAUACAAGGCUCAAAAUGAAAUUGCAUUAUGAAACAUUAUUUGCAUAUAGUGUGAGAGAUCCUUUUAUCUUCAGUGAGAAGCAUAGGACUUCUUCCAAAAAGAUCUUUGAGUAAGAAAUGGAAGAGAAAUAUUUUUAGUUUAAUUGAAAUGAACCUCUUGAAAGAUAGUAAACUUGGAUUGAUUGCUAAUGGACAGAGAAGAAUGUUUAUUUGCGGGAAAAAAAGUAGCAAAGGAAGAGCUUGGAGGCAAUACACAUGUUAAUGAAAGCAGUCGAAUUUUGAAAAAUAGUUUUUAAAUUUGUGGAAUUCAUAGCAAGUAAAAACUUUUCCUUUUACAAGUAACAAAGAGAAGUUCUAUGCUGUUGAAUAGUGUGCAUUUAUAAACAUUACAACUUUGUGCAUUUCUUAGUUUGAUCUUGAAAAACCAGUGCUAGCACCGGAUCUUUCACGUAUAAGGUACAUAGUAAAAAUUCACGAUACCCUACACUGUAAAAUUAGUAAGAAUAGAUGACAGCCAAAAAAAUUCUGUAAACCAUAGUUCAAAAUUUGUGUAAGGAGCGAAUAUUAAAUGGUUUUCUAAAUGUUUAAUUGGUCUAAAAAGAUACCAACAUUCAAGGAGAUUAUCAAAAAUUUCUCUUGCUCUUAACUGGGAUCUGGGGGCUUCCCAGAAAAUUUUCUUUGCUUCACAUAAUGACAGAAUUUAGAGAUUUUGAGGCUCUUCAGAUCACUGUUUUACUUAAGAUUACAUUAAGAUUCUAAAAUUGAUCUUCAUGCAUUUUUCUUUUUUAAGGAAUAGCAAUAGGUAGCAGUUGAAGGGUUUUUUUUCUUUCUAAGGUAAGUAAAGUAACUUACAUGGAGUUUAAAAUGGAUUUAUAGGAGUACCUGGGUGGCUCAGUUGGUUAACUGUCUGACUCUUGAUUUUGGCUCAGAUCAUGAUCUCAGGGUUGUGAGAUGGAGCCUAGCAUCAGGCAUAGAGCUUGCUAAAGAUUUUCUCCUUCUCUCCCCACCUUCUCAAAAAAAAAAAAAAAAAAAAGAUUUACAAACUAUGGUCUGACUC